rnacentral:rRNA from 1 species
AGAGUUUGAUCCUGGCUCAGAACGAACGUUGGCGGCGUGGAUUAGGCAUGCAAGUCGAACGAGAACCGUUGGGCAACUGACGGGGAAAGUGGCGAAAGGGGCAGUAAUGCGUGGGUAACCUACCCCGGGGAUGGGUAUAGCCGUUCUAACGAGCGGGUAAUCCCCAGCGAUGUGACGAGGGGGCAUCUUCUUGUCACCAAAUGAAUUUCGCCCUGGGAGGGGCUCACGUGAUAUUAGCUAGUUGGUGAGGUAACGGCUCACCAAGGCAAAGAUGUCUAGCGGGUGUGAGAGCACGACCCGCGCCACUGGCACUGAGACACUGGCCAGACACCUACGGGUGGCUGCAGUCGAGGAUCUUCGGCAAUGGGCGCAAGCCUGACCGAGCGACGCCGCGUGUGCGAUGAAGACCUUCGGGUUGUAAAGCACUGUCGAGGGGGAGGAAGCCGAAAGGUUGACCUAUCCCUGGAGGAAGCACGGGCUAAGUUCGUGCCAGCAGCCGCGGUAAGACGAACCGUGCGAACGUUGUUCGGAAUCACUGGGCUUAAAGGGCGCGUAGGCGGCUCAUCAAGUCGGGGGUGAAAUACUUCAGCUUAACUGGAGAAGUGCCUUCGAUACUGGUGAGCUAGAGGGAGGUAGGGGCAUGUGGAACUUCUGGUGGAGCGGUGAAAUGCGUUGAUAUCAGAAGGAACGCCGGUGGCGAAAGCGACGUGCUGGCCCUCUUCUGACGCUGAGGCGCGAAAGCUAGGGGAGCAAACGGGAUUAGAUACCCUGGUAGUCC